rnacentral:rRNA from 1 species
UACGUAGGUGGCAAGCGUUGUCCGGAAUUAUUGGGCGUAAAGCGCGCGCAGGCGGUCCUUUUAAGUCUGAUGUGAAAGCCCACGGCUCAACCGUGGAGGGUCAUUGGAAACUGGGGGGACUUGAGUACAGAAGAGAAGAGUGGAAUUCCACGUGUAGCGGUGAAAUGCGUAGAGAUGUGGAGGAACACCAGUGGCGAAGGCGACUCUUUGGUCUGUAACUGACGCUGAGGCGCGAAAGCGUGGGGAGCGAACAGG